UGGGGAAUAUUGCACAAUGGAGGGAACUCUGAUGCAGCGACGCCGCGUGAGUGAUGAAGGAAUUCGUUUCGUAAAACUCUGUUCUAUGGGAAGAAAAGGACUGUACCAUAGGAGAAAGCUCCGGCUAAAUACGUGCCAGCAGCCGCGGUAAUACGUAUGGAGCGAGCGUUGUCCGGAAUUAUUGGGCGUAAAGGGUGCGCAGGCGGCUUUACAAGUUGGAUGUGAAAUAUUGUGGCUCAACCACAAACGUGCAUCCAAAACUGCAAAGCUUGAGUUAAGGAGAGGUAAGUGGAAUUCCUGGUGUAGCGGUGGAAUACGUAAAUAUCAGGAGGAAUGCCGGUGGCGAAGGCGACUUACUGGACUUAAACUGACGCUCAGGCACGAAAGCGUGGGGAGCAAACAGG
rnacentral:rRNA from 1 species